GCACCUGUAGCACAAUUUGGAUAAUGCACAAGUUUCCUAAACUUGCUACUGUUGGUUCGAGUCCAGUCAGGUGCGCCA
rnacentral:tRNA from 1 species